AUUGAACGCUGGCGGCAUGCUUUACACAUGCCAGUCGAACGGUAACAGGCCUUCGGGUGCUGACGAGUGGCGAACGGGUGAGUAAUGCAUCGGAACGUACCCAGAGGUGGGGGAUAACGCAGCGAAAGCUGUGCUAAUACCGCAUGUGAUCUGAGGAUGAAAGCGGGGGACCGAGCAGCAAUGUUUGGCCUCGCGCCUUUGGAGCGGCCGAUGUCGGAUUAGCUAGUUGGUGGGGUAAAGGCCUACCAAGGCGACGAUCCGUAGCUGGUCUGUGAGGACGGCCAGCCACACUGGGACGGAGACACGGCCCAGACUCCUACGGGAGGCAGCAGUGGGGAAUGUUGGACAAUGGGCGCAAGCCUGAUCCAGCAAUGCCGAGUGCGGGAAGAAGGCCUUCGGGUUGUAAACCGCUUUUGGCAGGAACGAAACGGUGUCCGCUAAUACCGGGCGCUAAUGACGGUACCUGCAGAAUAAGCACCGGCUAACUACGUG
rnacentral:rRNA from 1 species